UCCGUGGCUCAGGACGAACGCUGGCGGUGUGCUUCACACAUGCAAGUCGAACGAGGUAGCAAUACCUAGUGGCGGACGGGUGAGUAACGCGUGGGAAUCUGCCUUGAGAUGGGGGAUAACGAGCCGAAAGGCUCGCUAAUACCGCAUAUGCCGAAAGGUGAAAGGAGUAAUCCGUCUUAAGAUGAGCCCGCGUCCGAUUAGCUAGUUGGUGGGGUAAAGGCCUACCAAGGCGACGAUCGGUAGCUGGUCUGAGAGGAUGAUCAGCCACAAUGGGACUGAGACACGGCCCAUACUCCUACGGGAGGCAGCAGUGGGGAAUUUUACGCAAUGGGGGAAACCCUGACGUAGCGACACCGCGUGAGCGAAGAAGCCCUUUGGGGUGUAAAGCUCUGUCAGCUGGAACGAAAAAAUGACGGUACCAGCAGAGGAAGCAUCGGCUAACUACGUG
rnacentral:rRNA from 1 species